rnacentral:rRNA from 1 species
GAUGAACGCUGGCGGCGUGCCUAAUACAUGCAAGUCGAGCGAACGGACGAGAAGCUUGCUUCUCUGAUGUUAGCGGCGGACGGGUGAGUAACACGUGGAUAACCUACCUAUAAGACUGGGAUAACUUCGGGAAACCGGAGCUAAUACCGGAUAAUAUUUUGAACCGCAUGGUUCAAAAGUGAAAGACGGUCUUGCUGUCACUUAUAGAUGGAUCCGCGCUGCAUUAGCUAGUUGGUAAGGUAACGGCUUACCAAGGCAACGAUGCAUAGCCGACCUGAGAGGGUGAUCGGCCACACUGGAACUGAGACACGGUCCAGACUCCUACGGGAGGCAGCAGUAGGGAAUCUUCCGCAAUGGGCGAAAGCCUGACGGAGCAACGCCGCGUGAGUGAUGAAGGUCUUCGGAUCGUAAAACUCUGUUAUUAGGGAAGAACAUAUGUGUAAGUAACUGUGCACAUCUUGACGGUACCUAAUCAGAAAGCCACGGCUAACUACGUGCCAGCAGCCGCGGUAAUACGUAGGUGGCAAGCGUUAUCCGGAAUUAUUGGGCGUAAAGCGCGCGUAGGCGGUUUUUUAAGUCUGAUGUGAAAGCCCACGGCUCAACCGUGGAGGGUCAUUGGAAACUGGAAAACUUGAGUGCAGGAGAGGAAAGUGGAAUUCCAUGUGUAGCGGUGAAAUGCGCAGAGAUAUGGAGGAACACCAGUGGCGAAGGCGACUUUCUGGUCUGUAACUGACGCUGAUGUGCGAAGGCGUGGGGAUCAAACAGGAUUAGAUACCCUGGUAGUCCACGCCGUAAACGAUGAGUGCUAAGUGUUAGGGGGUUUCCGCCCCUUAGUGCUGCAGCUAACGCAUUAAGCACUCCGCCUGGGGAGUACGACCGCAAGGUUGAAACUCAAAGGAAUUGACGGGGACCCGCACAAGCGGUGGAGCAUGUGGUUUAAUUCGAAGCAACGCGAAGAACCUUACCAAAUCUUGACAUCCUUUGACAACUCUAGAGAUAGAGCCUUCCCCUUCGGGGGACAAAGUGACAGGUGGUGCAUGGUUGUCGUCAGCUCGUGUCGUGAGAUGUUGGGUUAAGUCCCGCAACGAGCGCAACCCUUAAGCUUAGUUGCCAUCAUUAAGUUGGGCACUCUAAGUUGACUGCCGGUGACAAACCGGAGGAAGGUGGGGAUGACGUCAAAUCAUCAUGCCCCUUAUGAUUUGGGCUACACACGUGCUACAAUGGACAAUACAAAGGGCAGCGAAACCGCGAGGUCAAGCAAAUCCCAUAAAGUUGUUCUCAGUUCGGAUUGUAGUCUGCAACUCGACUACAUGAAGCUGGAAUCGCUAGUAAUCGUAGAUCAGCAUGCUACGGUGAAUACGUUCCCGGGUCU